CCGCGCCCGGCCCCCUGCUUCAUGUUUGAGAGGAAAAUCUAAUUUGUUUAUACUAAUAUUUAGAGCACGCUUCCGGAUUCAGUAUGGCUACUGGAUGCUAAGGAAAUGUUUCUUUAGCAGUUUGAGAUUCUGUGGUUGAGACACAUACAAGAAAUAAAUUAAGUACAAAAACAUCCGUUGAAUUUUUAGGAACUCUCAAGGUUUUAAAGAGAUGCAAGCAGAUGACAGUGAAUGCUGUGUUACUCUGCCUGGGUCUACCCUCAGGGCAAGGGCGUGCGUUUCCCCAGCUGCCAGGAAUGUUUGCCACUAACAGCUCACAGCUGAGUUCAUCUCCUGUUAUUACCCUUUACCUAAGGGAGCGGCCUCCAAGAGAAACUUGUUUGCCCUCAACUCAGUCUGCAUCUGGUGAGUAAUGUGGGUGUAAGGAAUCGACACCCUUGCGUCUAAUCCAGACAUCUCUAAAAGACCACCCCGGUUUCAAUGCUCCUCAUGAGACCAGAUGAAGCCAUCAUUAUUAACUCCUUAAUUUGUCCAAUACUGCUUCACUUAUUUCCUCAUGGGGUUGCCUCUGAGAGCAAGCCCCGGUAAACUUCUUCCUUAUACAUCUUAAUCUCAAAGUCUGAUUCCUAGAAACCCAAGAGAUUUUGAUUUGAAUUUAAAUAACAGGCGGAGUUUGAAAGAAUAAAGAGAUGGAGGGAACGCAUCAUAACCUGGUAUGACCUGGAUCAACAUAAACAAAGGGGUUUAGAUAGCUCAUGGUUCUGCUGGUUAGGAAGUUCAAGCGCAAGGCCCUGACUUCUGGUAAGUGCUUUCAUGCUGCAUCAACACGACUAAGAAGGUCAAAGAAGAAGUGGACAUAUUUCAUCAGAAUGGUCUUUCCUAUCAGCAUAUUGGUCACAAUUAUAUAACAAAUCUCUAAGAAGCUCCAAAGUUUUCUUCACCUUUGUACUUUCUUCUGAGUUCUUGCCAGAACCACCCUUAAUUCUUCAUUCAUGGUAAGAUAGACUUUUUCUAGCCUGCUCCUCCUAACUCUUCUAAUCUCUUUCUACUAUCCAGUUCCAAAGCCAACCCCACAUUUUUAUAUACCUAUAUAACAAUGAUCAAUUGUUAGUACCAAUUUUCUAUCUUAGUUUUGUGUUGCUAUAACAGAAUACGUGAGCCUCGGUAAUUUAUAAAGAAAGGAGAUGUAUUUAGCUCAUGGUUCUGCAAGCUGGGAAAUUCAAGGGCAUGGCUCUGGCUUCUGGGAAGGGCUUUCAUGAUGUGUUAUAACAUAACAAAUAAGGUCAAAGAGGAUGUGGACAAGUGUGAAAAGGCAAAAUCUGAAGGGCAUCCCAGCUUUUUUAGUCACUAACCCUCACAAGAACUAAUCUAUUUCCAUCAUAAGUAAUCAAGUCUCACAAGAGCAAGAAAUCACUCACUGUGGUGAGAACAACCACCA
rnacentral:lncRNA from 1 species